UUAACGUCAGAUCAGGCAAGAUUACCCGCUGAA
rnacentral:rRNA from 1 species